CGCCGUGUACGCCUUGGCCUGGGCCUUCCACACCCUGCUGCAGGACAAGUGUGGUGACCUUACGGUGUGUGAGGCGGUGCUGCCCGCUCCCUCAGGUCAGGAGAUGCUUCACUACAUCAGGAACGUCUCCUUUAUCGGUCUGCAGGGAAGAGAGGUCAAGUUCAACGCUGAUGGUGACGCCCCUGGCAGCUACUUCAUAUACCAAUACCACUGUUAGCGACACCUCCUUUGAUUACGUUCUUAUAGGGAGCUGGACAGAGAGCCUGCAGUUGGACGCCAGCAAGUUAGAGUGGACACCGGGCCAGCGAGGCAAUGAGACGCACCCUAUGUCCAUUUGUUCGUCUCAGUGCCCAGCCGGACACAUCAAGAACUUCCAGGUGAGCUCACAAUGCUAAUCUCAGUCCUGAUCUCACUAUUAUCACAUUUAAUCUCGUUUCUCUUCUCAGUAAUCUCACGCACAAUAGCCCUGAUCUCAGUAAUCUCACGUACAAUAGCCCUGAUCUCAGUAAUAUCACGUACAAUAGCCCUGAUCUCAGUAAUUUCACGUACAAUAGCCCUGAUCUCAGUAAUUUCACGUACAAUAGCCCUGAUCUCAGAAAUCUCACGUACAAUAGCCCUGAUCUCAGUAAUCUCACUUACAAUCGCCCUGAUCUCAGUAAUCUCACGUAC